AUUGAACGCUGGCGGCAGGCCUAACACAUGCAAGUCGAACGGAGUGGGGACGGGUGAGUAACACGUGGGUAACCUCCCAUCAGAGGGGAUAACACUUGGAAACAGGUGCUAAACCGAUACUGAUGGAUGGACCCGCCGUGCAUUAGCUAGUUGGUGAGGGAACGGCUCACCAGGGCAACGAUGCAUAGCCGACAUGAGAGGGUGACCGGCCACACUGGGACUGAGACACGGCCCAGACUCCUACGGGAGGCAGCAGUGGGGAAUCUUCGGCAAUGGGCGAAAGUCUGAGCGAGCAACGCCGCGUGUGUGAAGAAGGUUUUCGGGUCGUAAAGCUCUGUUAGUAGGGAAGCGGUAUCUAACCAGGAAGCCACGGCUAACUACGUGCCAGCAGCCGCGGUAAUAC
rnacentral:rRNA from 1 species